CCUUACCUACCCUUGACAUGCCAGGAACUUGCCAGAGAUGGCUUGGUGCUCGAAAGAGAGCCUGGACACAGGUGCUGCAUGGCCGUCGUCAGCUCGUGUCGUGAGAUGUUGGGUUAAGUCCCGCAACGAGCGCAACCCUUGUCAUUAGUUGCUACGAAAGGGCACUCUAAUGAGACUGCCGGUGACAAACCGGAGGAAGGUGGGGAUGACGUCAGGUCCUCAUGGCCCUUAUGGGUAGGGCUACACACGUCAUACAAUGGCCGGUACAGAGGGCUGCCAACCCGCGAGGGGGAGCCAAUCCCAGAAAACCGGUCGUAGUCCGGAUCGUAGUCUGCAACUCGACUGCGUGAAGUCGGAAUCGCUAGUAAUCGCGGAUCAGCUUGCCGCGGUGAAUACGUUCCCGGGUCUUGUACACACCGCCCGUCACACCAUGGGAG
rnacentral:rRNA from 1 species